rnacentral:rRNA from 1 species
CCUACGGGAGGCAGCAGUGGGGGAUAUUGCACAAUGGGGGAAACCCUGAUGCAGCGACGCCGCGUGUAGGAAGACGGUCCUAUGGAUUGUAAACCACUGUUCUCAGGGACGAAAAUGACGGUACCUGGGGAGGACGCUCCGGCUAACUACGUGACAGCCGCCGCGGUACUCCGUAGGGAGCGAGGGUUGUCCGGAGUUACUGGGUGUAAGGGGAGCGUUGGCGGGGGUGCAAGUUGGGGGGAAAAUCUACGGGCUAAAGUGGUAGUCGCAGUCGAAACUGCAGCUCUUGAGUGAAGGAGAGGCAGGCGGAAUGCCGGGUGUAGCGGUGAAAUGCGUAGAUAUUAGGAAGAACACC